UAAUACUAAGGUUAAUUAAAUAGGUCCCUCUGAGUUUUGUAUGCAUACAUUACAUGCAAUGGAUAAAAGCAAGAGCUUUGUGAUGAGCAAAGGCAAUUAGCUCAGUCUACAUGCAAUUACUUGUGCUUAAGAAGAACUAAUUGGGUUGUUCUAGUUGACUAGCGCACAUGACUUCCAUUUGUGAAAUUUUGAGUUCAAAUCUAAAGAGGGGAAACUAAUGUUAAAAGUUUUAUUCGUCACUCUCCACUAAGGAAAUCCCCAGAGCUUAGAUCUAUGAGAUCAAAGAAUUACAUAUAUCUAAAGGACUAAUCGAGAUGAAACCUUAGACACACUUGUGAACCAAAAAGAACAGACUUGAUUAGUGCUCUAAAUGUCAAGGGGGCUCACAUUGAUAUCGUACUUGCCAAAGUUGAUCUUCUAGCAUCCAAUGAUGCCAGGAUUUUGAAGUGCAUUAUGCAAAAUGAAGGGUUAAAAUGCAUUCCUCUAAUCAUGUUGUCAACACCGGAUCAAGUCUCUCUUAUCGGAAAAUGCCUGAGACUUGGAGUAGUAGACUAUCUUGUGAAGCCUCUAUGUGAUACUGAGCUACUGAAUUUGUGGAUGUACACAUUGGAUAAGGAGGCAGUGCAUAAUGGACUAUUUGAAGAUGAUAAGGGUUACCCAUAUGACAGAUUCUAUUAGCAGGUACAUAUGGAGCAAGGAUUGUUUUACAACUUAAAGCUUUUGAAGUUUUCGUUUGGACAGCAAGCAAAUUGCAAGGGCAUCACUAACUGUUUCUUGGGCGAUAAUAUGUGAAAAUACAAAAUUGCCCUUCUAAAUUCACUACAUAAUAUUGACUUGGAGGCAAUUUUUAGAGUUCAAUAGAAUUUUUCCAAUCUUAUAUUUUGAUCGGAUUGAAAAUUUUAUAGCAUUAUCAUACGGCUUACUUUAAUACUAUACGUAAAUCUCAUCCACCGUGAUUCUCCGAGAAUAAUCUAUAAUUUUCCUCAAUCACCCAACACAAUAUCCCACUUAUCCACAUUUUUCACCAAUCACAAUACUAUGAAAUAUCACGUGUCUAUAUUUUGAGAUUAUUGAAUAAUU